UGGUCCGGCUGCUGAACUUGGCGCAGGCGCCUUCCCCGCCUUCCCGAUCGCACGCAUGCGCUCUGUACCCGCCGCAUGCUUCCUGGUGGCGUGGUGGGUGGCGUGUUCGUCGGUUGCUUCUGUGGUACAGGUUCGCUGCCUCACGUAGCGCACAUCGCCUUGCACAGCGCACAACUGGUUCUACCGGUUUCUGGGACGAAAACUGUCUCAACCCCUUUUCUCUGGGUUGAUGCCAGAACUUUAGGAACAGCCUCAAAGGAUUCCAGUCUUGACCACCCACAAAAGUAGUCUUUUGUAAACACGAGCAUGUGUGGGGAUUUAAAAAAACAAAACAAAACUGGAUCCUGAGAUUCUCCGAUAUUAACUUUGGAGAUGAUAACAUUGUGUGGCAAUGUAAAAAGGCGUGGAACAAAAUGUCUACAGCUCUGCUGGGAGAGAAGGCUUCAACAAUGUACCGGAGACAGAUUAUCUCACAUUCAUGGGCUAGAAGUGACCUGCUUUUAAUUAAUAUUUAGUGUUUACAAUCCUUUAAAAAAAUUAAAUGAACUGCUGAUUCUUCCAGAGGUAGAUCAUGCAUCCACCGGCAAGACUGCUACCACAAGAACACAGUUUGCCCGCAUUUAGAGUUCCACACAUGAUUAUAUUUCAAAAUAAAGAAGGUGCCUUGGUCAGAACAAAUCCCAGCAUGGAGAGGAAGGUGGACACUAAGCCCCAUCUCCAGGAGGAGCUGUUGGCAUCUGAUAGCCACUGAAGAAUGUAGGUCGGUUUUAACAAUGUACCUACCAGUUAAACCAUCCUCCAGUGGAAGGCCGCACAUCCAAGAUAUCGAUAGCUCAGAUCGAACUCUGCCUCUACCUCCCAAGUGCUGGGAUUAAAGGUGUGCGUCACCACUGCCAGGCUUACUUUUGUUUUUAAGAGAGCAGAGUUGGAUAGCUGUAGAAGAGGGUUGGGUCUGGGAGAUGCGUACAGUUGAAUAUGGCCAAGCGUAAUUGUACAAAAAUUUCAAAGAACUAAUAAAGGAAAAAAGAUUUUCAGGCCACAGGUGGGGGAAAAUAAACAAAACCCAAAGAGGUGAAAAAAUUCCAGGUACAAUAG
rnacentral:lncRNA from 1 species